rnacentral:tRNA from 1 species
UAAGGGGUAGUACAAUGAGGUAGUACUGGAAGUUUUGAUCUUUCAGGUGCGGGUUCGAGUCCUGCUUCUUUAG